GAUGAACGCUGGCGGCGUGCUUAACACAUGCAAGUCGAACGAAGCACUUUAUUUGAUUUCCUUCGGGACUGAUUAUUUUGUGACUGAGUGGCGGACGGGUGAGUAACGCGUGGGUAACCUGCCUUGUACAGGGGGAUAACAGUUGGAAACGGCUGCUAAUACCGCAUAAGCGCACAGCAUCGCAUGAUGCAGUGUGAAAAACUCCGGUGGUAUAAGAUGGACCCGCGUUGGAUUAGCUAGUUGGUGAGGUAACGGCCCACCAAGGCGACGAUCCAUAGCCGACCUGAGAGGGUGACCGGACACAUUGGGACUGAGACACGGCCCAAACUACUACGGGAGGCAGCAGUGGGGAAUAUUGCACAAUGGGCGAAAGCCUGAUGCAGCGACGACGCGUGAGCGAAGAAGUAUUUCGGUAUGUAAAGCUCUAUCAGCAGGGAAGAUAAUGACGGUACCUGACUAAGAAGCACCGGCUAAAUACGUG
rnacentral:rRNA from 1 species